rnacentral:misc_RNA from 1 species
AUUUAAACAAAAUUAUAUGAUUUGAUCUUAAUUUCUCUAAAUUUUGAAUUAAAAAAAUAGUAAAAAAAUGGCCGCUCUUCCCAUGCAAUGGGAAGAGAGAGAGAGAGAGAAAAGUUGAUUUAGAUUUUAGUCAUAAAAAAUAAAAAUGGUGUGUGAGAUAUGGGACAAGAUUGGAGAAAUGAUAAGAUGCAGACAGCUUUAUUAAAGUGAAUUGAUCACAGCUAUAUGCAAGGAAAUUAAGCAUAAUCAUUAUGAGAAGCGUAAUGUAAAAGUUCCACUUAAGAAAGAAA